rnacentral:rRNA from 1 species
UGGCGGCACUAGCGCGGUGGUCCCACCUGACCCCAUGCCGAACUCAGAAGUGAAACGCCGUAGCGCCGAUGGUAGUGUGGGGUCUCCCCAUGUGAGAGUAGGGAAUCGCCAGGC